rnacentral:rRNA from 1 species
GGGUUGUGAGGUUAAGCGACUAAGCGUACACGGUGGAUGCCCUGGCAGUCAGAGGCGAUGAAGGACGUGCUAAUCUGCGAUAAGCGUCGGUGAGGUGAUAUGAACCGUUAUAACCGGCGAUUUCCGAAUGGGGAAACCCAGUGUGUUUCGACACACUAUCAUUAACUGAAUCCAUAGGUUAAUGAGGCGAACCGGGGGAACUGAAACAUCUAAGUACCCCGAGGAAAAGAAAUCAACCGAGAUUCCCCCAGUAGCGGCGAGCGAACGGGGAGGAGCCCAGAGCCUGAAUCAGUGUGUGUGUUAGUGGAAGCGUCUGGAAAGGCGCGCGAUACAGGGUGACAGCCCCGUACACAAAAAUGCACAUAUUGUGAGCUCGAUGAGUAGGGCGGGACACGUGGUAUCCUGUCUGAAUAUGGGGGGACCAUCCUCCAAGGCUAAAUACUCCUGACUGACCGAUAGUGAACCAGUACCGUGAGGGAAAGGCGAAAAGAACCCCGGCGAGGGGAGUGAAAAAGAACCUGAAACCGUGUACGUACAAGCAGUGGGAGCCUCUUAAUGGGGUGACUGCGUACCUUUUGUAUAAUGGGUCAGCGACUUAUAUUCUGUAGCAAGGUUAACCGAAUAGGGGAGCCGAAGGGAAACCGAGUCUUAACUGGGCGUUAAGUUGCAGGGUAUAGACCCGAAACCCGGUGAUCUAGCCAUGGGCAGGUUGAAGGUUGGGUAACACUAACUGGAGGACCGAACCGACUAAUGUUGAAAAAUUAGCGGAUGACUUGUGGCUGGGGGUGAAAGGCCAAUCAAACCGGGAGAUAGCUGGUUCUCCCCGAAAGCUAUUUAGGUAGCGCCUCGUGAAUUCAUCUCCGGGGGUAGAGCACUGUUUCGGCAAGGGGGUCAUCCCGACUUACCAACCCGAUGCAAACUGCGAAUACCGGAGAAUGUUAUCACGGGAGACACACGGCGGGUGCUAACGUCCGUCGUGAAGAGGGAAACAACCCAGACCGCCAGCUAAGGUCCCAAAGUCAUGGUUAAGUGGGAAACGAUGUGGGAAGGCCCAGACAGCCAGGAUGUUGGCUUAGAAGCAGCCAUCAUUUAAAGAAAGCGUAAUAGCUCACUGGUCGAGUCGGCCUGCGCGGAAGAUGUAACGGGGCUAAACCAUGCACCGAAGCUGCGGCAGCGACGCUUAUGCGUUGUUGGGUAGGGGAGCGUUCUGUAAGCCUGUGAAGGUGUGCUGUGAGGCAUGCUGGAGGUAUCAGAAGUGCGAAUGCUGACAUAAGUAACGAUAAAGCGGGUGAAAAGCCCGCUCGCCGGAAGACCAAGGGUUCCUGUCCAACGUUAAUCGGGGCAGGGUGAGUCGACCCCUAAGGCGAGGCCGAAAGGCGUAGUCGAUGGGAAACAGGUUAAUAUUCCUGUACUUGGUGUUACUGCGAAGGGGGGACGGAGAAGGCUAUGUUGGCCGGGCGACGGUUGUCCCGGUUUAAGCGUGUAGGCUGGUUUUCCAGGCAAAUCCGGAAAACCAAGGCUGAGGCGUGAUGACGAGGCACUACGGUGCUGAAGCAACAAAUGCCCUGCUUCCAGGAAAAGCCUCUAAGCAUCAGGUAACAUCAAAUCGUACCCCAAACCGACACAGGUGGUCAGGUAGAGAAUACCAAGGCGCUUGAGAGAACUCGGGUGAAGGAACUAGGCAAAAUGGUGCCGUAACUUCGGGAGAAGGCACGCUGAUAUGUAGGUGAAGCGACUUGCUCGUGGAGCUGAAAUCAGUCGAAGAUACCAGCUGGCUGCAACUGUUUAUUAAAAACACAGCACUGUGCAAACACGAAAGUGGACGUAUACGGUGUGACGCCUGCCCGGUGCCGGAAGGUUAAUUGAUGGGGUUAGCGGUAACGCGAAGCUCUUGAUCGAAGCCCCGGUAAACGGCGGCCGUAACUAUAACGGUCCUAAGGUAGCGAAAUUCCUUGUCGGGUAAGUUCCGACCUGCACGAAUGGCGUAAUGAUGGCCAGGCUGUCUCCACCCGAGACUCAGUGAAAUUGAACUCGCUGUGAAGAUGCAGUGUACCCGCGGCAAGACGGAAAGACCCCGUGAACCUUUACUAUAGCUUGACACUGAACAUUGAGCCUUGAUGUGUAGGAUAGGUGGGAGGCUUUGAAGUGUGGACGCCAGUCUGCAUGGAGCCGACCUUGAAAUACCACCCUUUAAUGUUUGAUGUUCUAACGU